GACGAACGCUGGCGGCGUGCUUAACACAUGCAAGUCGAACGGAAAGGCCCUGCUUUUGUGGGGUGCUCGAGUGGCGAACGGGUGAGUAACACGUGAGUAACCUGCCCUUGACUUUGGGAUAACUUCAGGAAACUGGGGCUAAUACCGGAUAUGAGCUCCUGCUGCAUGUUGUGGGUUGGAAAGUUUCGGCGGUUGUGGAUGGACUCGCGGCUUAUCAGCUUGUUGGUGGGGUAGUGGCUUACCAAGGCUUUGACGGGUAGCCUGCCUGAGAGGGUGACCGGCCACAUUGGGACUGAGGUACGGCCCAGAAUCCUACGGGAGGCAGCAGUGGGGAAUAUUGCAGAAUGGGCGGAAGCCUGAUGCAGCAACGCCGCGUGCGGGAUGACGGCCUUCGGGUUGUAAACCGCUUUCGCAUGUGACGAAGCGUGAGUGACGGUAAUGGGUAAAGAAGCACCGGCUAACUACGUG
rnacentral:rRNA from 1 species